rnacentral:rRNA from 1 species
UACGAAGGGGGCUAGCGUUGUUCGGAUUUACUGGGCGUAAAGCGCACGUAGGCGGAUCGUUAAGUCGGGGGUGAAAUCCUGGAGCUCAACUCCAGAACUGCCUUCGAUACUGGCGAUCUUGAGUCCGGAAGAGGUGAGUGGAACUCCUAGUGUAGAGGUGAAAUUCGUAGAUAUUCGCAAGAACACCAGUGGCGAAGGCGGCCGACUGGACCAUUACUGACGCUGAGGCGCGAAAGCGUGGGGAGCAAACAGG